rnacentral:rRNA from 1 species
AACAUCGCCUCCUGCAAAAAUCAAUGUAUAGGAGGUCCUGCCUGCCCAGUGACAACUUGUUAAACGGCCGCGGUAUUUUGACCGUGCUAAGGUAGCGCAAUCACUUGUCUUUUAAAUGAAGACCUGUAUGAAUGGUGGAACGAGGGCUUAACUGUCUCCCUUCUCCCGUCAAUGAAAUUGAUCUGCCCGUGCAGAAGCGGACAUAUAUAUACAAGACGAGAAGACCCUUUGGAGCUUAUUGGGGCGACCGCGGGGGAAAACAAAGCCCCCACGUAAUACCGAGAGAGACAUCUCUAAGCCACAGAAUAUCUGACCAAAAGAUCCGGCUCAUAGGCCGAUCAACGAACCAAGUUACCCUAGGGAUAACAGCGCAAUCCCCUCCAAGAGUUCAUAUCGACGAGAGGGUUUACGACCUCGAUGUUGGAUCAGGACAUCCUAAUGGUGCAGCCGCUAUUAAGGGUUCGUUUGUUCAACGAUUAAAGUCCUACGUGAUCU